UGGGGAAUAUUGCACAAUGGGCGCAAGCCUGAUGCAGCCAUGCCGCGUGUAUGAAGAAGGCCUUCGGGUUGUAAAGUACUUUCAGCGAGGAGGAAGGCGUUGUGGUUAAUAACCGCAACGAUUGACGUUACUCGCAGAAGAAGCACCGGCUAACUCCGUGCCAGCAGCCGCGGUAAUACGGAGGGUGCGAGCGUUAAUCGGAAUUACUGGGCGUAAAGCGCACGCAGGCGGUCUGUCAAGUCGGAUGUGAAAUCCCCGGGCUCAACCUGGGAACUGCAUCCGAAACUGGCAGGCUAGAGUCUUGUAGAGGGGGGUAGAAUUCCAGGUGUAGCGGUGAAAUGCGUAGAGAUCUGGAGGAAUACCGGUGGCGAAGGCGGCCCCCUGGACAAAGACUGACGCUCAGGUGCGAAAGCGUGGGGAGCAAACA
rnacentral:rRNA from 1 species